rnacentral:tRNA from 1 species
AGUGUGGCCAAGUGGUUAUGGCAAUGGACUGCUAAUCCAUUGCUCUUUGAGCACACAAGUCCG